UUGGUUAUUUUUUAUUUUAUCUUUUUCCCUUUCAGGUGUGGGAAACGCCUAUCCUCUCUGUCUACCCGGGGAGCAAGGCCGGUGUCGGGUUCCCUUACUGCCCGACCUCCCCAAGAAGCAAAGGUGGACCAGGGCAGCCUAGCUUCCCUGCUUCCCGCCAGCCAAAGGGUCACCUGAAUCCGGCAAGACCCUCCCGCCAUACCAGUCUCCUGCCGUUUCGGGUGCCAGCUGCUGAAGAGGUGACCCUGCUGGUCCACUGAGCCCCCUGUGAAGAUAAGAGGAUGAAGAUGGGACAGAGAAGAUAUCGUUUUAGCACUGGGUAACAUAAAUUACACAGAGAACCCUUUAAACAGAUGAAAGCCAGUACAUUGGACCAUAACAAUGAGGCAACUUUAGCAGAAAUCUUUCCUAACAGUGCUGAGAAUAAAUGGAGCGGAUUAAUAGAUGUUGGAUCUGCAUUUCCUCUGUGUCUAUUAUUGAAGCUCUUAAAGUGUCAGUCGGGCAGUUUCAUAAUAAG